UACGGAGGGAGCUAGCGUUGUUCGGAAUUACUGGGCGUAAAGCGCACGUAGGCGGCGAUUCAAGUCAGAGGUGAAAGCCCGGGGCUCAACCCCGGAACUGCCUUUGAAACUAGAUUGCUAGAAUCCUGGAGAGGUGAGUGGAAUUCCGAGUGUAGAGGUGAAAUUCGUAGAUAUUCGGAGGAACACCAGUGGCGAAGGCGGCCACCUGGACAGUAACUGACGCUGAGGCGCGAAAGCGUGGGUAGCAAACAGG
rnacentral:rRNA from 1 species